UAAUGUGCGAAAAGUAAUGCGAAUUGCAUACCUCUGCGAGUCAUCUAGUCUUUGAACGCAAAUGGCACUGCUACGACGAGUGGCAGUAUGUCUGUUUGAGAACCGCAAAACCCAUCACCAUAUUUUAUGGUGGACAUGUCCCUUGUGUUGUAAAGUGUAUCAUAUCAUAUCAUAUCAUAUAUUAUAUUAUAUUAUAUGCUUACACAUGGGAUUAAAACACUAGUGUUGCGGGCACUCUAAGAGUAUGUGAUAAUCAUUCAUAUUCCAAGAGGGCUUGUGUGAUGUGUUGUUAUAUGAUGUAUCAUAUGAUGUAUCAUGUUAACAUCACAUCAUCCGCGUAACACCAAAACUAUAUCAUUUAAACACGGUCUCAAAUCAGACAAGAUUACCCGCUGAACUU
rnacentral:misc_RNA from 1 species